AGGGGAAUAAGUAAUAAAAGAAGCUGCUAACUAUCUUUUAGAGCGGUUAAAAUCCGUUCAUCCCCUAC
rnacentral:tRNA from 1 species